rnacentral:rRNA from 1 species
AUGCACGCUGGCGGCGUGCCUCAUCCCUGCCAGUCGAGCGCACAGAUGAGGAGCUUGCUCCUCUGACGUUAGCGGCGGACGGGUGAGUAACACGUGGAUAACCUACCUAUAAGACUGGGAUAACUUCGGGAAACCGGAGCUAAUACCGGAUAAUAUAUUGAACCGCAUGGUUCAAUAGUGAAAGACGGUUUUGCUGUCACUUAUAGAUGGAUCCGCGCCGCAUUAGCUAGUUGGUAAGGUAACGGCUUACCAGGGCAACGAUGCGUAGCCGACCUGAGAGGGUGAUCGGCCACACUGGAACUGAGACACGGUCCAGACUCCUACGGGAGGCAGCAGUAGGGAAUCUUCCGCAAUGGGCGAAAGCCUGACGGAGCAACGCCGCGUGAGUGAUGAAGGUCUUCGGAUCGUAAAACUCUGUUAUUAGGGAAGAACAAAUGUGUAAGUAACUAUGCACGUCUUGACGGUACCUAAUCAGAAAGCCACGGCUAACUACGUG